UCCCUGGAAGUUUAGUCAUUAGGCCACGGCGCUCUAACCAUCGUGGCCCGGGUUCGAUUCCUGGCCAGGGAA